UACGUAGGGUGCGAGCGUUAAUCGGAAUUACUGGGCGUAAAGCGUGCGCAGGCGGUUAUGUAAGACAGGUGUGAAAUCCCCGGGCUUAACCUGGGAACUGCGUCGGAUACUGGAUGGCUUGAAUUCGGGAGAGGGAUGCAGAAUUCCAGGUGUAGCGGUGAAAUGCGUAGAUAUCUGGAGGAAUACCGGUGGCGAAGGCGGCAUCCUGGACCGACAUUGACGCUGAACGGCGAAAGCUAGGGGAGCAAACGGG
rnacentral:rRNA from 1 species